AAACUAAAUUUUUUUAUUUAGUAAAUAAAAGAACUUCUUCUUUUUUUAUUCUUCUCUUCUCCUUUUUACUCUCGUAGCGUGCAAUGCGUGUUAGCAAAAAAAGAAAUUCGCACACGCUGGCCUUAUUAAAAAAACAGCGCUGGCUUUUAUAAUAUUGGGAGGGGCACUCCGCUUCUGCGUAGACUAGUAGUUGUAGUAAUCAACUACACUCACUCUUUUUUCCUUUUUACACACUCUCACCACUUCCCCCUUGAAAGAGUUGGACUUGGAGUCAAAUGGAUCCACCAGAGAAAUCUCUCGUCUUUGCAUUGUACACAUAAUAUUUUAUAAAAUGGUUUUUGGAUAUCCUACCUAUAAGAACGUUUUUUAUUAAAAAUUUUACAGUAUGUUGUAGUGGAAGAAGAUAUAUGAAUUACGAUUUUUGUUGACCCUCAAAUAAUGGAAAAACAACGAUGAAAGCGAUUAUCAUUGAGAAUGUUAUGGCGACGAUCCAAGAAAGUACACACAGCAAGGGAAUAGGUAGAGAUCCAGGAGUAAGAUGAGGAGAAAGAUAAUUCCCAUAUAUUUCAGUAUCCUGGAGUUCCUUGGAACUUCAAUCUACCUACAGACAACUGGAAACCUUUGUGGACAGGAACUAAAACAAAUAUAAUUAAUGUUUCACUUCAUAUAAGUCUUUUGGAAAUGGUACACACUAUUCAACUUCCAGGAUUUUUGAUAAUUGGCCAUGCUAUCAUUGGAUGGAUCAAGCAAAAUAAUUACUACAUAUUUUAAUAUAAGAUGUAUAAACGAGGAAACAUUAAAUAAGAGCAGAUGUGUACUGUACAUAAAAUAUAA
rnacentral:lncRNA from 1 species